GCAGAGAAUAGUUUAAAGAGAAUUUCAGCUUUGGGUGCGGAUGGUGGGGCGUAGGCUCU
rnacentral:tRNA from 1 species